UGAUGAAUGAACGUUCGCUGCCACUAUC
rnacentral:sRNA from 1 species